UCUUUCAGAAUUUUCCACAGUUUAUUGUGAUCCACACAGUCAAAGGCUUUGGCAUAGUCAAUAAAGCAGAAAUAGAUGUUUGUAAAGGCCCUUCAAACGGUCCUUUCUUUUUGAGAUUGGCUGUCUCAUUCAGUAACUAAAGACUGUGAUAAAUAACAGCACAGAAUGUGGAAGCUGGAGAGAAAAGGCUAGUGGAAAUGUGAACCUGGCUGUUCAAGAGCAGAGCUGAGCUUAUUUGCAUAGUAGCAGGUGUGGUUACUUAUUUAUGAAGCACAUUUCCUCUGAGGUGUGGAAAAUGGGCUAGCUGUGAACCUGAUCCCGGCCUUAGAACGCUGACAGUGAGGAGGCAGAGCCCAGUCUGACCCCCCACAGUUCUCCCCCUCUGGUGCUCCUGGUAAUUCCCUGAGCUUCCCUUGUAUUCCCUUCUUGCUAGACAAUGAGGUCCUGAAGGGCAGGGACAGUGUUUGGUCACCAUUGUUUUCCUGUGCCCAGAGUCUCCCUGGCAAUAGGCAGGCCUUCAGUAAAUACAUAUAUCAUGAGUGAAUUUGGCAGACAAGCUUGCAACUACCCAGAAGCUGGAGGGAGGUAAACACAAAAGGGGAGGCGAGGCCUUGGAGUUCCCAGACACCCACCCUGAAACAAGGAAGUAAUGCUAGAAACAGAUGGACAGAAGAAGCACCAUUUGAAGAAAGGGUCAGCUGUGGACCUCCUAUAGGAGAAAAGCCCCAAACAAACUUGACACUCUUUCAAGUGCAUGGUUUGACUCCUCCAGAACAAGGAAAACAAAACAAAACAACCCUAAGUAAUCCACUCCCCGCCAAUAAAAACGCCUACCCCAAACAGCAAUUGCUCCAGACUCAUACAGCGUCCUCGUUACACAGUGGAAAGAACAAAGACGUGAUUUAAGCAUCUUGAAAUUGAAAUAGCAAUUGCCAAACACCAGAGGAUCAGCAGAAUCAUUAGAUUCCAGAAAAUGCAGAACCUCUGAGGCCUCUGUAUUCUUCCAUUCUGAUGUCAGAUUACUGGCAGCCCACGCUGAGCUGCCUUAUAAGAAAGUGCAGCUAGGCCACUAGAAAGAAGCAGAGGAAGGAGGGGCCAGCUGGCAUUGCUGGGGUUUGGAAGCUCUGCACUGCAGAUUCUGUUAACCAACACUGGACACUGUCUUCCUCUGCUCUCAGUGACCAGUGAGGCCAAGGCGGGCCACUUCAGCUGACUAGACACAGAUGUAGAUGUCUAUAAGUUUACCAGUCAGAGGCCUGCCAGGAAAACAGAAUUUAUCCCAGGUGAUUCAAAUAGAAAGACAAAUAAAAAGGAUCGACAGCAGUGAGCAUGAGGGAAACAGAUAAGGAGCAUUGUGGUACCUGAAGACUUGCGUCAGGGGGCGCCAUUACUUCUGUAAGGGCAAAGAGCAGGAGGACCUCUCGGUGCCUGACCUAGCAGGACUGCAGCUAUGAGGAAGGGCUUCCAGAGAUGGGGCUCCAGAACAGGGAGGGAGUGGAGAAGAAAUCCCUGCCCAUUUCUCCCGCUUCCUGUUGACAAAACCAGAAGCCAGCCAGCGAGGGUGCUCGCAAUGGCACUUUCCUCAAGGGUCAGCUCCUGAAGUUGAGAAUACAUGGAGGGUUGUAGUCCCAAUCCUGAGCAGGAGUCUCCAUGUGCAUCAAGUACUGGGUCAGCACUGUCCUCUGAUAAGAGACCAGCUUGUGUUUGCUCAGAAAUAACGCCCAGGGCCUGGAACAGGAAAGGAUAUAAGUGGGAAGAACACAAGGCCUUCAUCCACAGCCGCUGCCCUCACUGAGACUGCAAACACAGUUCAUUUUCUAAACGAUGGACUCCUCCAUAAAGGGGCAAAGUAAAGCAACAUCCAGAGCUGGAGAAAAAAAAUUCUCUCAUCCUCAGCACGCUGUUUGGUCUUUGCUUCUCCCAGGCACCAGCCCUUUGGCUUGAUGUCAGAUCAGUGUGGCUAGAAGCAUAAACUGGGUGAAGCAGAGGGUCAAUUAUUUGGAAGAGUUUAAAAAGGAUUGGAAUUCACCAGUGAAGCUAUCUAGUCCUGAACUUUUCUUUGUUGGUUGUCCAAUUUGCUGGGCUAUAAUGUGGCGCUGUGAUAAAGAGACUGCCUGCCAAAGCAAGAAACGUGGUCUCGAUCUCUGGGUUGGGAAGAUCCCCUGGAGUAGGAAUUGGCAACCCAUUCCAGUAUUCUUGCCUGGGAAAUUCCAUGGACAGAGAAGCCUGGUAGGCUACAGUCCAUGGGGCCACAAAGAGUCAGACAUGACUGAGCGACUGAACACAGCACAGUUGUUCAGAGUAGUCUCUUAGGAUCCUUUGUAUUUCUGUGGUAUCAGUUGUAAUGUCUCCUCUUUCCUUUAUAAUUUUAUUUAUUUGAAUUCUCUGUCUUCUUUUUUUCUUGGUAGGUCAAACUGAAAUUCUAACACUGGAUAUUAUCUGUUUUUUUAAUGUUUGCUAGUUUGAUGAACUAUAACAUUUUAGUGUUUUAAUUGUAUUUUUGUUUACUGUGAGAAAUGGAAUAUUUUCCUUUGCCGUUUUCCAUUUCUAUUUCUUUUACUAUGAAGUACCUCUUUAUAUUCUUUCCCCCUUUUUAUUAAAUGGUUCACCUUAU